AUUUGAUGUUAGAUGGCCAUUAUGUUCGUGUCAUGUGGACAGAGGACUAAUGGUACUCUUCCAUGAAGAGAAGCAAAUGGAUCAGUAUGUAGUAGCAGGUGCUUUGGAAAGUACAACUGUACAAUUAUGCGACAUAAUAAUGCCUGGAAAUUGGCCUAUGGCUGUAUCAUUUAAGAUAUUUUGGCGUCUCUGCCAUCCGAUGGUUGUUCAACUUCUCUUUUGAAACGAGGCUAUCUAGAGGAUUUCAAGUUAUGUCUUAGGAAGACAUUGGUGAAGAUUUGAGAGGCAGGGAGGGAUUGCUCAAGUGGAAACAGAGCAAGAACCAGAAGGAGCUUAAGAUUUUGCUACUACCUUGCUAAUAGCUUUCUG